rnacentral:rRNA from 1 species
CGUAGGUCACAAGCGUUGUCCGGAUUUAUUGGGCGUAAAGGGAGCGCAGGCGGUUUGUUAAGUCUGAUGUGAAAGCCCACGGCUCAACCGUGGAACGGCAUUGGAAACUGGCAAACUUGAGUAUAGAAGAGGAAAGUGGAAUUCCAUGUGUAGCGGUGAAAUGCGUAGAUAUAUGGAGGAACACCAGUGGCGAAGGCGACUUUCUGGUCUAUAACUGACGCUGAGGCUCGAAAGCGUGGGAGCGAACAGGAUU